UACGGAGGGUGCAAGCGUUAUCCGGAUUCACUGGGUUUAAAGGGUGCGUAGGUGGGUCUGUAAGUCAGUGGUGAAAUCUCCGUGCUUAACAUGGAAACUGCCAUUGAUACUAUAGGUCUUGAAUUUUCUGGAGGUAAGCGGAAUAUGUCAUGUAGCGGUGAAAUGCUUAGAUAUGACAUAGAACACCAAUUGCGAAGGCAGCUCGCUACACAAAUAUUGACGCUGAGGCACGAAAGCGUGGGGAUCAAACAGG
rnacentral:rRNA from 1 species